rnacentral:lncRNA from 1 species
UUUUUUUUUUUUUUUUUUUUGUUUAAGAAAUGCUGAUUUCACUAUAAGAUUCCGGCGGCUGAAGGAGGAGGAGAAAGACGAGUUGGCUGUCGAUUCGAAAAGCGCUCCAUGGUUUUUGGGUUUCUUAAGCUGUAGACAGGACGAUGUCGUUUACACUAAGGUCGAGGUUGACGUCUGUUUGUGCUUAAUAAUUCCAUAAAAAUCAACAAAUUUGGGCAUCACAAUUUGCAAAAGUUUCUGGAACGACGCUCCUUAGUCCAUGCUAUGAUACUGCUACAAAAUUGCAUAACGGGUUUGUUGGCUUGCAAAAAUUUCCGUCAUGUAUUUAAAUUUGGUCCAAUAAAUUAGUAUUCAUAGAUUUGCAAAAAAACCAUGAAAUGCUUCUUUAUUUUUAGAGAUUUUAAAAUCUAUAUGCAAAAGCAAACAAUUUUAGCAAAAAUGGACUUGUGAAAAAAAAUAGACGAGAACAUUUAUAAAAUAUUUUGUAUAUCCAAAUUUAGAAUCUAAGAUACGGUAAAACAAUCAAAUUUAAGAAUAGGACCUUAGCAUGCAUAAAACUAAUCUGUGUAUAUAUAUAUAUAUAUAUAUAUGAAAGUAACUAUUUUAAUUAGUAUUUUUUUCACUUCUACAUUAUAUGCCUACUUAGAGAGAAUUAACGGGUUAUUCAUCACUUAGGUUUUACCUAUAUUUAAUCCUAUUUGGAUUAUAUUAUAUGUUUAAAAAUUAUCUCUAAUUUUAAAAUAACUUUAAAAAGUAAAUAAUCUUAUCAUAAUAAUAUCUGCUUUCUAUCAAAUUAUUACGUAGAACUAUAAUAAAAUCUUUUUCAAAUAACAAUUACUAAAAUCUUACAUAUCCCAUAAAUUAUUUUCUUUCAUCACCGGUUCGUUGAUUAUUGAUUAGUAUUCAAAUUAUUGAUUGUCUCUUUCCCUUAAUUUUGAAUUAAUUUACUGCAAAAAAAAGAAUUAACUGUAGCACUGACAAAUUUUGUCAAUAUUGUUGAAAAUUGAAUAGCUAUCUUGUGCCUAUCUCUAAUUUGGCAUUAUAUUAAGCCGCAACCAAUGGUGACAUGCGGUGUUGUAAUUGGGUUAACAUUUCAAAAUUACAUUCAGGCCCAAUCUUAUCGGCCCAGCCAGUACUAAUACGAAUCAUGCACAAUAAUUAAUACUGAUUUUUGUCCCAUAGAAUCAAUUGGUACAGCCAUUGAUAAUUGACCGUAAGGUCCCUGCAACCUUUUGCAGUAUCUUCCAUACCGGCCUCUGCAUUUAGACGUCAUGAGCUGCUUUUGUGAUUUUAAUGCUUCAGCGAAACUAGAAUGGGCGCUGAGACAAGAUUCUGUGUUUUGCAGAGGCCAUUAGUACCAUAAACCAAAAAUGCAAAUGUACGAACAUUUUAAUCCAAUGUAGAAGGAAACCAAGAAAAAAACACAAAGGAAAUGUUGCCCAGCUCAUUUUUUGAGCAAAGAAGUUUUAUCUAAUCAGACUUGAUCAUUGUUCUCCCGAAGCGUUACAUAUAUCAAGAAUUUCUCUGAGCUGACAGUGAAUAGAAUCAUGUAUCACAAACAUUUGCUUCAAAGGUCCUCACAGGAACCUAGAUCAUGAGCAAGCUGUGUAAGCUGCACUUGCAUAUUCUUCAAUUAGUCCACAACCUUUCCUUCCAUUUACAAACAUGACGGUUGUUCAUGUCUCACUUUAUUGAUGGAUGUCAACCAUCGUUGAUGCAAGGGCACUCAAAUGUAAUCCAGCCAAUAAUGUUCUCCCAUUGGUAAUUUAUAACUAAAUGGUUAGCAAAAUUCUAAUAGAAUGUUGGCCUAUAGAAUGUGUAAAUGCUAAGAUCUCUAAAUAUGGUUUCUUGAAUUAGUCCAGAGUGAACUAACCGAUGCAUCAUCUCUUUUGUCAUCUGAUGAUCUCUCAAAAACCAUCACCUGCUCGUUGCAGAACUCUUCGAAGCUCAUCAGCCAUUACUUGUAGAAGAACAGGUUUUCUAACAAGACCAUUCAUUCCCGCCUGCAGGCACCUUUCCAACAAAUGAUCCUCCGCACUUGCGGACAAGGCUAUAAUUAAUGGCCAGUUACGACUCCGAAACUUUCGUAUUCUUCUUGCCACUUCAAAGCCAUCUAUUUCAGGCAUGUGAAGAUCCAAAACUACAACUUGGAAUGUUGCUGCUGAGGGGCCUAGUGCGCUCAGGCACUGGAAACCAGAUGAAACUGCGGUAACUUGGCAACCUAGCUUCUCAAGCAGCUUUUUUGUCACCAUUCUAUUUAUAUCAUCAUCAUCAGCAAGAAUAACUUGAAGGCCUCUGAACAUUAAGCUAGAAAUUGGUUGCUCCAAUGGAUUUCCGAGCUCAAAUACAUGUCUUCUAAAAGAAGAUUGUUUCUGAAAUCUGAGAAUAAGAGUCAUGCUUCGUGCUUGGCCCCGAGAAUCAGAGGACAUCCAGAUAUUACCUUGCAUCAUCUGCAGAUGUUAAACCAGGAAUCAAUAUGAUGUCAAAAAACAAUUGUUGACAAGGAUGCCCAAACUAGACGAAGGAUUUAGACAAGGAUUCUGUCCUCCAAAGUGAUUGAUAGAAGACAUGAUUGGCCAAAACAAGUUUGGACAGCAAGUUUUAUACUCAUUCAGGAACAGAGAAACAUAGAUUGAGAUUAUUAUCCAAUGGACAUAAUCAGAAGUAAAAAUACAGAAAAUAAACCAAUAACGAAUAAGAUGCCAAAGAACAAUUCUUGAAAAGUACACCUAAACUAGAUGAAGGGUUGUGUCCUCCAAAGAAAUGUAUAGAAGACAUGAUUGGCCACAAUAGGUUUGGACAGCAAGUUUAAUGCUCAUUCAGGAAGAAAGAAACACAGGAUUUAGAUUAUUCCCCAAAGGACAUAAUCAGAAGUAAAAAUAAGGAAAAUAAACCAAUAACAAAUAAGAGGGGAAACUUUUGUAAGCUUAAAAAAAGCAUAAAUUAGCAGCUCCCAAAUGAAGGGCAGAACCUUUUAAACUUUGAAAAUGUUGUACAUCUAGAUUCUUGUACUAAACUGAAUAUAAGAAGUUUUAUCUUGCAACUAUGGAGUACGACAAACUUCUUUUGAUGAAAUACGUUUUCGCACUAAAAAAUGAUUUACAAACUAUCCCGCUUAGACUUUAAAGACGCUAGAAACUGAGUAUCUUAGCCUUUUCUAGGUAUUGACUGAAUACAAGAAGUGAUAUCUUGCAACUAUGGAGUACGACAAACUUCUUUUGAUGAAAUACGUCACAAAUUAUACCGCAUAGGCAUAGCUAAAAUGCCACCUCAGGUCCUCAAGUACCAUCAUGCUGGCCUUGAGCAAUCAGAGAAGAGUGCGUCAAAUUCAUGCACUGAAAGUAAAACAAGCCCAAAAAGUGUUUAUAAGUGCUUUAUAGCUAUUAUCCCAGAUAUCAAGCAUUUCACACUAAAAAAAUGAUUUACAAACUAUCCCACUCAGACUUUAAAGAUGCUAGAAACUGUGUAUCUUAGCCUUUUCUAGGUAUUGAAUACAUUGAUCACUAAACCAGCUCCAAAGGUUAGCAAGUAGCAGAAGUGGAUGAGCACCGGGAUGUUUGCGGUUAUAUAAAAUCCAAUUGCUAAAAAAAGGGCCAGUAUGAGAAUACCACAAGAGAAUUGAAAUCAUCCAGCUGAUGGAUUACAUGGACUUGCCAUGUUGCCAACAUUUACAAUCAGAAAAAUGCACCGCCAGGGCAAAUUGCUCAAGGUAAGCUAUAGAAGUUUGAAACAUGCCUCCAGAGGAAACACUUAGCAGCCAAGUAGCCUUUGUAGGUGGCUGAUCAACAGCAAUGCAUUGGGUAUUUUCUGAUUCCGCCAUCUCAUGGAGUUGGACUUCUUGGUGCAUUAAAUUUCAUCUUUGGUGAGGGACCAUUACACUUGGGACACGUCAAAAAAGUAACCAGCAUCAAAUUUUAUCUUUGGUUUUUCUAAGUAGCCGCACUAUUUCAAGUACUAUUAGCAACUUCUUGUAAUAUGCUUGUUGAAUAACAAUAGACCCCAAAACUUUCUCCUCUUCUUUGCAACUUUGACGGAUGGCUUUUAAGUCCUUGAUGUGAACCUAGAGUAUCUGACUAUAACUUAAACCAGGUGCUACAGCCCCAAAUGCCAUAUGCUUCAAAAAUAAGCAUAUUAAACCUAUCUCACAAGGAAUUUUAAUAAGUUCAACGGCAUUGAUGUCUUGAGGAAAAUUGAUCGUGUUAUUGGUAGGAGAAUGCACCCCCAAAACAAAUUCUCUUUUUGAUUGAGAAUGCCAGCACUUUGUACUGCACCCAAAUGUCCCAAUAAAGUUAUCCAACAUCUUAUUUGACAGCGUUUAAAUUUAUGAAACAAUUUGUACAUGUGAUAAAAUGAACAGCAUAGCAUGCAGUUAUAUAGCCAUGACACGUAUAUCUACUAUCCAACAAAUUAGGCACCAGGAAUACUUUAUGAGCUCGUAAGAUGCUAAUGUGACAAAAUUAAUGAAGAAAAGAAAUUCAGAAUUCGCACCUGCACAAGCUUUUUGCACAUACUGAAGCUCAAGCCCUCCUUUACUUCUUUGCUGUUAUGCCUUGUCCCACCAAAAUGAGUGGUAGCUAUUGAGCUAUCUGAUAGAGAACCUUCAACAUUAACUUCAAUUUCAAACUUUACAUUCACAUACUCAUCAGUUGUGCUUGGUCUCCUUGUAUCCCAAUAUCUAUCAGUCCUCUCCUGACUUCCGCUCUCAGUAUCAACCCUAAAAGUAACAGAGUCCCUUCCCUCAUUGACAUUCAACAGAUGCCCAAUCAUGUGCAGUAGAACCUGAAAUGCCCUCUUCUGAUCACCCAUCACCUGAUUAGGCAGAACAUUUGGAAUCUCCGUAGAGAAGCCAAAGUGCUUGUAAAGGCACAAGCACUUAACCAAACAAGAUGCUUCUCUUACCAUGGCAUGUAAUUUAAAGGGCAUGAUCUCUAAUGGGAAUCUUCCCUCAUCCUUGUCAGAUAUCUCCAUUGCAUCAUUUAUUAAUGUUGAGAGAACACUGCCGGAUUUUAUUAUAGUGUCAACCACAAUCCUCUGAUCGGGGCUCAAAUUGGCAUCUUGAAACAGAGAUAGUAAGCCCAGAAUUGAGUGCAUAGGCCGCCUCAUUCCGUUGCUCAUUACUUUCUGAAAUGAGUUCCUUGCCUGGCUUGCCAUCAUUGCAUUCUCCUUAGCUUUCUGGAGCACACGAUUUUGCUCUUCCAGUUUCUCUCUCAUUGACUGAGACUCCUCAAGAACUGAAGCAUGGGACAGAGCCACCGCCACCUGAUCAGCAACAACUUCAACUAUCUCCAUCUCAUUAUACAACCGAACCCUGUCAUUUGCACUUUGAAGAACCAAAACCAGUAUGGCGUAUCCAGUGUCAACAACCUCUGGUGUCCCCCCUUUGAAAUUUGAACAUAGAAGCACUGGCAUUCGAAUAGCUGCAACAGCACCUGGCUGACACCCUCCACAACUCGCAGCACCAAGUACUGAGUCUUGCCUCAAAAACAUCACUCCCUCAUUCUUUGUUAUCUCUAAUACAUCUGGUUCAUUAAUCGCAAGGGUGCGGCUAUAUUCUUCUGAAGGACCAGGACUCAACUGAUGGGUCAAAUUCAUCUCUGUUCUAUUCCCAUUAGGCAUCCAAACUGCACAAUUCUGCAGAUCCAAGGACUUUGAAAGCUCAACCAAAGUAGUGUACAAUAUUGUAUGCUUAUCGAGUGACUUCCUAAUUUCUUGGGUAAGCAUCCGGACAUGCCAACUAGCUUCUUUCUGUUUCUUCAUCAUCCCAACCUCUUGGCCUAGCUCCAUCACAUUUUGUGUUAAAAAUAAUUCUCUGACUUUAAAUUUGAGAAUAAUAGGGAUCAGAGUGAUAAGAGUGAUAGCAGUUGCACAAGAUACAAGAGCAGUAAGGAUUUUCGCAACUGUAAGAGCCAUCAUCAACUGGAAGGAGUGCCGACCAUAAUAAGUCCACGCAUUGAGCAAAUGGGUCAAUCCACAGAGGACAAUGAAAGCAAUGAAUUGAAGUAGAACCCAUUUGAAUGGUAUAUUUGAGCAGCUAAUAAAGUAAAGCAACUCGAUAGGAAUUGAAAAGUAAGCCACAGCAAUCAAGAAAUCACUCACUCUCUGGCAUUCUAGAAUGCUAGCUAUGCUCCAACCUCCAACAUCAUCGCAAUGACAAUGGGAAAAUUCGCCAUCAGUGGCUGACACGCUGAAGAUCAUAACUGCAACUAGAAGCCCAAGGACAAAAUCCCUUAAUCUUGAACCCAUAGCAGCCCCUUUUCAAUCCAUCUUUAUGACAAGUUUUCACCCUUUUCAAAAGCUUAAAUCAACUGAAGAUCAAGACAGAGGUGUCCUUGAAAUUAAACCCCAAACCCCAGUCCCAAAUAGCAAUUGCUUUCCUAAUAAACUAUAAUAAAUCAAAUCUCUCCAGCAUUUCUAGAUCUAAUAUGUCUAUGUGUCAAGAUCAAAAUAACCAAGUAAUCUUUGAGAGGUUAUAGCAGCCUCUCUCAGGUAACCAUCUCCUACGCUAUUUUUCAUAAUAUUUAAUUCCCACCUCAGUGUCAAUGCUCAAAUUCAGAAUCUGUAAGAAAGCAUCAAUCUUUUUCAUUAAACACUCCCCGUUUCAAAGGAUGUAGCACGAAAAGCAUAAGAACCAAGACAAUAGAAUGCAGGCCUAAAGAACCGGGAUCAAAAUCCAGUCAAGGCUCCAAUAAAGCUGAAGGGAGUUGCACUUGGUGAAAACAAAAAUGAACCUGAGGGAGUAGGAAACACCUUCUUGCUUGAGAAAUCCAGCAUCAAAUCAACCUUCUACAAGCAACAGCUAAGCCCAAAAAAUUUCUGUAUCGUACCAAUAUUCCACUACCCAAAAAAAUAAUAAUAACAAGACUUCUUUUGCAUGAAGAAAGAAUCACAGCUUGUGAAACCGGUGUUGAUAUUAGCAAACAAAAAAUUGACACCUACCCAAUAGGAUAGGACAUCCCACUUGGACUAAAACGAUUAGAAAACUAAUAAAACCAUUAGUCAAUCAGCAAGAACUGUUCAAAGUAUGACGUUGGAUUGAACCCCACUUGAAAAAUCUGUAGAAACUUUAGCUCACUGGACGCGGGAAGGUCCAGUAAGUGAAUUGACCUGCAUGUAUUCCCUCAGGUUAGCACUACUAGUUUUGGCACUGAAUAUAUUAAAUUAAAUCCAGGAUUUAAUAUGUGCAUAUGAGAGGCGUACUAAGUAAGGUGAAGGCACAAGUGGUGAGAGAUUAAUAUAAAUAAUUUUGUAGAAUAUCCAUACACUUGUGUUUAUUAAUUUAUGGACAAUGGAGGAUCUUCAAAUCUUGAAUUGGGUGUAAAUAAGGAGAGGACGACAGGAAGAUUAUAAAAAAAAAAAAAUUGAGACGCUUGGCAUGCUUUUAUUUACCCCCUUAACUUUUUCAAAAUUUCAGUCAGGACUGGUUGAAAUUUUUUGUUUCUUAAAUUAGACCAACAGACUUUGAUCUUAGGCACCAGCGCCAAGUGCAUGGUUGCAAUUGCCUUGUAUUUAUAAAUGUACCUUUUGUCAAAAGUUUUUAGUUUUUCCUUUGGUGGACUUCUCCAUCUUUUGGUUUUUGAAUUUUGAUUUUCAAUUGGUUGAGAGCUUAAGAAAUAAAAGAACGUACUUAAAUAGUACUAAAAUUCACAGUUCUAUACCUUUUUUUUUUAAAAAAAAAAGAACAAAUUUAUAUUUUUCUCUGUUAAGAUUGGCAUAUGCAAGAUUAAUUAAAUAAUUUCAUAUCCUCUUUACCUUUCUCACUCAUGGACGAUUUUAGGGAAAAAAUAAUCCUUCUCAUUCCCUUCCUUUUCAUGUAUCAAAAUUUUAGUGAUCAGAUAAUUAGUUUAUAAUUUUUAUUUGCCAUCUUAAAGAAUUUGCAAUCAUUUUGAGAAUACAAUGACCAAUUAAUUAGGUCACCGACGACCAAAUUAUAGGCAAAAAAUGUAACUGCAGUUAUUUAGUUUUGCAUAUAGUUAUUUGAAACUUGACUUUUAAGGAUUUACUCAAUAUUGAAUAGUACGCUAAUCAAAUCUAAACUUGAAAAAAGAUGGUUUGUUUGGAUUGAGCAUUAUUUCUCCAAUUUUAUUUGCUUACAUCAUCAUUACAAUUUCCAAUACACCUUUUUAUCUUCCCAAUUACCUUUUCAUCUCACAUACAUCAAGUCACAAAAAGUGCUACAGUAAAAAUAUCCCAAAUAUUUAUCUUGGUCAGCCUAUCAAACUCAAAUCAAUCCUACUUUUGUAGUUUGAUAGUCAAGUUGCGCGAUUUUAGUUAGAUCAUAUUUAUAUAAAAAUCCUAUCUAAGAUAUUAUCGGUAAUUUUGUCAAAAUAAUAUAUCUAAACUAGAACAACAUAAUUUGGAGUCUCGUAUUAGCUUGCCUUGCAUGCAAAUUAAAAGGAAAAAAAGUGACAUUUUAUAUUUCAAUUUUUUUUGUUUCCUUUUUUUCAUAGUUGAACGAAAUUCCUGUCUUGUAUCAUUUGGUAAAAAUUCAAUCAAAUGGUCGUCAUCCCGUGUUUUUCUUACCUAAACACCUUAACUUUCUUUUCCUUCUUUUGAACCAUACCAAACAUAAUUAAACAUGAAUUGGUCUAUAGUAAAGUCGCGUGUAAUUUAAGUUUCACUAAUAUGGGAAAAAAAAAGUUACGGUGUUUCAUGGCAAUUGCACAAUAAUGGGCAAAUGAAAGGCCUUGCCCCUUUGGCCUUUUAGGAGUAUGAAAAAAGAGCGGGCCCUCCUCCCGCAUAUAGAAUGAGUACACGACUGUCUCUGCGUGUACAAGGUGAGGAGAACCUAGACGCAUUCAAUCUCCCCAUCCACGUCACCUCCUUUAUUAAUUUCUUAAAGGUCGAAAAAGGCUAUACCAAACACCAGCCUACCAGCCACCACAUAACUUGGUUCUACAAAAAAAAAAAAAGUGAUUUGUUUCAAAAAAAUUCCAGCCUGCCAGCCACCACAUAACUUGGUUCUACAAAAAAAAAAAAGUGAUUUGUUUCAAAAAAAUUUAUACGAAUGUGUUUUGCAUCCGUUUAGUUCGGUGAUGAUUCAAUUCCCUUCGAAUUAUUUCCGAGUCUCAUAAGGUACGCCCUCUCUAGAAUAGAUUAGAUUAUACAAUAGUUUUCAUGUUCGGAAAAAAAAAAAAAAAAAAAGGGCUAUACCAACUACCCUUCUAGCCCAUGAGACUAUCAACAAUAUCCAAUAGAAUGGCAAAUACUACUGAUAAGAAAUUUAGAAAAGGCCACCCUCAAAAAAUUUUUUUUUUUUUUUUUAAAAUCUACGUGCUUCUCACGUGCUUGUCAGCCUUCUUAGUCAUCCCACCGGCCAUUGCUCACCGUCAAUAAUCAUGGAGGUGGAGCCCUCAUCGUGUGGUGCAAAGCCGAAGGAUGGAGUCAGGCGCAGAAAGUGUUAUGGUGAUGAUGACGGUCUAAUUUUCGUUCUUCAUUCUUGAAUCUUGAUCAUGAAGCAAAACUGAAGGUAGGCAACGCUAGCUAGCACUAGAUGAACUGCCAAGCACCACGUGCCAACCAAGAAACAUCAAUGAAUCUUCCUUCAUCGGGCUUUCGAUAUCGCGAGCUCUAUAUUGAUUUUUAUUACAAAUGAAUCAUUGAUGUAUUCAUUAGUAGUGAUUAAGACUAAUUUUGUGCAUGGUAAUAGUUUCCAAAAGACGAUAGCGUGGAUUCGAUGGAAAAAGAUUGAAGAGUUUAUCUUUAUCUAACGACUGUGUUAAGAUAGAGUUCAAGUGUUAAGUGCAUAUAUAUAUAUAUAUAUGGUGUGUGUAUGUAACUAUGUAUGAUAAGUUACGUGUAAAUAAAGUAAAUGCACGACUGAGUGUUUAGAAAAAUUAAACACUCCUUGAGUUAAUUGGCUUCAAUGCUAGCCGAUAGUGCUAAAUUCAGGUGGUGGCACUGACACAUGUGAUUGUUUGAGCAUAUGAAGCUCUGGAUAAUGGAUGGUAUUUCUUCAUUUGGCUUCAAAAGUGCUUUUGAACUUUCUCAGCUCAGUUGCAUCAAGAUAGUGGACCGGUGCUGAUCGAACUUUCUCAGCUCAGUUGCUAUUGAAUUAGUUCUAAAUUUCUCGGUUCAUCUCAUAUACGUCAAAUUGAUACUACGUAUUUAUUUCGUGGAGUGCGUUUUAGUUCUUUACUUUGAUUAUUUAAUAUAUAGUCAAUUGAACAACGUGGAAGACCAUCAUCAUUUUCAAGACAAAAAAUAUAUAUAUAUAUAUGAAAGAUUUUAUUUUACCAGCCACAUCCUAGGAAAGGGCAAAGCAAUUUGUGUCUGCCAUUCAACUCGGCAGGCUUUAAAUGGGAUGUGGUACUGAUAACAAUAGGCCCCCUGUGAAACGAUGCCUGCCGGCACAACAUGCUUCUGAGAACAGCAUGAGAAAAUCUCUGAAAACUACAGGGGAGCAAAAGAACAUGUAUCAUAUAGAAGUAUAAAGCUUUGCUAUUUGGGGAUUCUGCAAGCCAGGAUUCGCUAACUUUUCUACUGCUUAAAGAAGAGCAUUGAAAGAGAGAGAGAGAGUGCAGGUACAAAACUUCUUAAGGUACAUAAAUACGUGAAAAAGUAUCAGUCACCAAAGAUGAAGAUGUUCGUAACCAUUAGCCUGUACAUUAUCAUUGUCAUACUUAACUAACUCGAGAUGGCACAAAGAGUCUCUACCGUCCCGUCCUAAAAGAAUCUGCCAUACAGAAACAUAUAUGCAAGGACAGCAGUUCUCAAAUAGGUACUCUAAUCUGGGUAGUUGCCAUUUUCUGGAGACUGCUGCACACUCUGACCUGGAUGACCGCUCCAUUCCAUCGCCUGUGAAGGU